UCUGGGGACAGGUUGGGGGUCGGAGCAGCAGGCAGCUUGGACAGGAGGUGUGCUGGCAAGAGCCCUGGCACGUGUCUUUCUGCAGAGACACAAACCUACAGAGCAGGAGAGUCAGAUUUCUGUUACAACAUGCAACACGAAAAGAGAAAAGAAGGGUUUGUUCAGGUUCAUCGAGUCACCUGGCAGAGCAGAUUUCAGACGGGUUGGCCUGACAGUAUUCCCUGGUGCACUCCGGGUGACAGGACUCUGGAUCCACUGGUUCGAUCACUGCAGGAAACAGGAGAGGUGAAUCUCUCGCAACUCAUGAAACUCUGCCUUUGAAUAGAGACUAUUUACAUAUUUUCCUGAGCAGCGGGAAAAAAAAAAUGAAAAAGGUGUCAAAAUCCCCAAUCUCGCGCUGCAUCCGAUACCGUAUCGAUAAGGGUGACAACUCCUCACCACGGAGAGAUAAGAGGCGUAAUGACGGCUUAACUGUGAGCAGGAACCUUUGAUUCAAAGGAAGCCUUGAGCACACUAUCGGUCCUCACGGCCCAUAAACAGCAUUUACUUUACUGGCAACGUUCCCACUGCAGUGACUUCAGUGGUUACUUGAGUACUGUAGUCGAGAAAAUGGUGAUUCAUGCAUUUCUUUUGUCAAAUUAUACCAACGAUGUUAAAUGACCUGCUCGACACUAAACUGAGGUGUAGUCCCACCUGCUCUGCAGACCCCUCUGCGCUCCUUGUCCGGCUUGUCAUCAGCCGCGUCCUGGUAAACGCAGACCAGGCCCUCGUCACACUUGCCCAGAUAGUCCCACGACCCCCCGCAGGUCUCCCCCUCUGUCCGGGCGCAGACAGGGCAGCAGCCGCAGACGCCCGUCGUGACGCCACCUUGACACUGGAGCUUCAGCGCCCGCCGGGUGGAGCAGUGUAUCCUCUCGCAGGGCGGGCAGUGAAGGGCCUGGAGCUGCCGGGCAGCCCCCGAGGGCGUCUCCUCGGAGCCCAACGCCCCCACCAAGGCACUAAAGAAGAUGAAGAAGAGCAUCCACAUCCUUGACAGACCUCAAGUUACCCUGAGGGGAGAGCAGCUGUCAGCACCUUUUAUACACCUGGUGAAGCUUCAUACGUUUAUGAGCCACACACCUCCACCCCCCACCAGCAGCCAAUAGAUGAGGGCAGGGGGGGUUUCAAUGGGUGGAUUUUGUCUAAAAUACACAGUUAAUUAUCCCCACGUCUUAUCUACACACUUUGAUUUUGUUUUGAAAUAAUUCUUCCUUCUGAGCACCGUCAGAUAAGUGUGAUGAAGACUGGCCCCCUUUGUGUUUGCAGUCACAUGACCUCUGGAAGGGGCAAUUCAGUGCACAAGUGCAAUCAGUUAAUGACCUAUUUCUUCAAAGAACAAUGGGAUUAGGACAUCAACAGGUUAUCUGAUCGGGACAAGUUUCCCGUAUCCAAAUGAAAACUGGCAGCUUGUCUACAGAUGGACACGGUCACUUGGAGUUAUAUCACUGAAAAAAGGAAAUUUAGGAAAGUAAAAAUAUAUAUGUUUUGCAUCAGAAAAGUAAUCAAAUUUUAAGAAAAUAUUCCUGCGGUUCAAGGUUCAAGUUUUGUUAUUGUCCUUCCAAACAUCUACAUGAAAAGAACAGAAUUCUGCAAGAGCAGGUCCCCGUGCUCAUCUUAAGAAAUAAAUAAUUAGUAUCUAAAAUAGAGAAAGAAAUGUCUAAAAUAACAAGUUAAAACAUUGACAUUGACUGACAUUGACUUAUCCCAGCUAAUAUUUUGCAAAUUUUAACGAGUAGCAAGUUACAACAGUGGUUUCAAAUGAUCCCAGCAGAGGAACAAGAUUGUUGAUUCUUAAUUUCAGAAUCCUAUGAAAUGACAUGAGUUAAAGUAUAUUCAUCUAUUAUUAUUCACUGCAACUGAUUCCAAACAGAAUUAUAUGAUAUUAAGAUAACCGUGUUGUGGUCUAAAAAACAUACAAUACAAUACAAAUGACUAUUGUUAUGUUAUGCUGUUGGAAUAACUGGAGUAUAACUGAAAAAAGCUUCUCAGUCAAUGAUUGAUCUGGACUCCUAUGGUGCCUGUGGAGAAAGUGACAUGUUCCUUUAUGAUCAAUGAAGCAGAAGAUUAUUUUCUAUAUUUUGAUUUAAAAAAAAUUAGAGGAAUGUUUCUUAAAUCAAGACAAAGUAACUGGUUUUUAUUAACUGUUUUUUUUUUGCUGUUCAACAAUCUUAUAUAGGUUCUAGAAAAUAUUCUUUUGAAAAUAGAUUCAGUGCUUUCUAAGAUGCAGCAGACACUCUGCCAUCUGCUUGAUUACUUCUACAGUUGUGUUUACUCCACAAAGAUGUUUUUCUCAUAUGACCUUGAAUUGAGAUUGUGACGCCAAGGUCAAGAUUAAAAAUCAAGCUAAUUUAUCUUGUCUACUGCUUCGUUGUACUGGAGUAACUAUUACACACCAAGGUUGUAUCAUUUGAAUUAUUAGUAGGAAGCGGAGUCUUAUGAAAAUGAAUUUAUUUUCAAGGAAACCAUUGAGUAACACUGAAUACAACAGGAGUGUGAUCAUUCAAUAGUCAAUAAAACUCGUGACUCCCACAUACAAGACGUCUUGGAAAACAAGAUUUGAAAGCAAACUUGUUGGCAAUUUGCUGGUGCUACAAUUAUUCUUUUUCUUUUUUCAAAUCCCCACAUACCAAAUUGAGGCGAUACACACCUGUGUAGAAAAGUGACAAGAUUUGACAUUAACUUACAAAGGGCUGGAUGUCAAAGUGCAAGAUGCCUGAACCCCCCUCCCCUCCCCCACCACUCGUCAUCAAAGAGGACGAUCACGGUAUUGAAAUCAGAGAUGGAAUCUCAAAUACAAAUCUCAAAAAUUAUUGUUACGCCAUUAUGGCUUUGUAUUCAGUUGAGACCCUAUUCUAGCUUACAUUACAUAGCUUUAAAAUAUCAUUUCAGAAACACUGUCCUCUCAAAGAUACAUUAUCAUUAUUAUUUUUAAACUGCACCUUAUUACAGACAACUGCAUGUAAUGGAGUAAAGCUUCACAGGGAAAAAUGCAGGCGUACAACAGAAAAGCAGCAUUUCAUCAACAACUUCAAACAAAACACACUAACAUCUUGUUGGUUUAUAAAAGAAACCGAAUCGAAGAAUACGUACUAAAAUCUGAAGAGAAAAAAAAAAGACUUAAAAACCUCGGAAGAAAGAAAAAAGUAUGUACAUAUAUUUACAAGUAAAUAGAGUGAAUAUUAUACAGGUUCGACUGGCCGGUCAAAGUCAGGCUGAAGCCAACGAGGUCCAAGAAAAUCCAACACUGCAUGACAUUCAGUUUAGUCAAUCCAAAAUGUUCCUAAGACAAAAGACCUUCCAGGAGGUCAUCUUCAAGGUCACACCGAGAAGAAGCGAGUGAAAAG